rnacentral:lncRNA from 1 species
UCUACAGUGGGCAAGUGAAAAUUAUGUGUCUCUGGUCGUCAUCGCUCAAUCAAGGCCGUGAUGAGAGACCAAUCAAGCUGCAUCCGUCCAAGCUCAAAAAUUGUAUAUAACCCCGUAGCCUGGAGGUGCACCACUAUGCGAUCAUGGAAAGGAUGCGUCGCGAUAAACUCCCACAAAUCGUCAGGUCUCCUGGGGUGGAGAGCCUGCAUCGACAGAUGUCCCUCCCAUACAAAGGAGGACCUAUAGUCACCCUGCAGCACUAAUAGCUCAUCCUCGGCAGGUCCAGGAUGCGCAGACAGAGGAAAGGCCAUGUCGUCUACUAUAAUUUAAACAAAAUUAAUUGUUUGUGUUAGUUUAAUAAAUUAAAUAAUGAAUUAUAUUUAAUUAGCUUGGAGGCACUCUACUAUGCGAUCAUGAAAAGGAUGCGUCGCGAUAAACUCCCACAAAUCGUCAGGUCUCCUGGGGCGGAGAGCCUGCAUCGAUAGUUGCCCCUCCCAUAUAAAGAAUGACCUAUGAUCAUCCUGCAACACUAAUAGAUGACCCUCAACAGGUCCAGGAUGCGCAUGCAGAGGAAAGGUCAUGUCGUCUACUAUAAUUUAAACAAAAUUAAUUAUUUGUGUUAGUUUAAUAAAUCAAAAUAAUUAAUUAUGUUUAGUAUUUGAGUGAAUAGUUAUGUAUGAGUUCCAGACUUGAUUUUUAAGGCCCGGUAGCACAGAGUUAUCCUUAAUUAUUAUGUGUAUCAAUUUCAACAUUUUUAGAAUUUUGUUAACUUAAAGAAUUAAAUUACAAAUUUUUGAAUUGGAGUGAAAGUUAUGUAUGGGUUCCAGUCUUGAUUUUUAGGCCCGGUAGCACCGAGUAAUCCUUAAUUAUUAUGCGUGUCAACAAUAAAUUAUUAUCCUUAAUUAUUGUUACGUUAAAAGGCUCUAUAUUUUACUACACUAAAAGGCUCUACAUACAAAUUUAUCAACAAUAAUAUGAACAUAAUAUUAACAAUACAAUUAAACAAAAUAAAUAAAAUUAUUUAACAAUACAAAUUAUUUAUCAAAUUUUAAUAUAAAUUAUUUAUUAAAAUUUAAUAUUAUCCCAAAGUAAAUAAAUCAAUCUGGGUAUAUAAAAGAUACACAUUUAAAUACAAACAUAACAUAAAUUAACAUAAAAACACAUUAAAUAAUAAAAAUAUACAUAUACUAUACGAGUUUUGGCAUAAACUAAAUAGAAAUACCUCAAUUUAAAUUUUUUAAAUUUGAUUGAAAUUGAUUUCUUUCCCUUGAAAGACGGAUCCAAUACUUGUCUUGUCUGUGGGACCUACACUCCUUGCUUUUUUGGUGACGUGUGGAACCAAAAAAAUAUUUAAAUUACGGGGGUAGAGGACCAGUGGUGUUAAAGUUGUUUUUUAAUGGGGGAGGCUUCUUUCGUGAAGAAGAAGAGUUAUAUUUUUUUAAAUAAAUUCGCAAUACUAUACAGCGAUUUAGUAAUUCGCAAUAUAGUUUUGCAAAUUGCUUAAAAAUAAUUUUUAAUGCAAUUCGCAAUACUAUACUACGAAUUAUUAAAUCAUAAUAUAAUACUGCGAAUUAUAUUAGAAAAAUUAAAAUAAUUUAUAAUAUUAUACUGCAAAUUACUUUAACAAUAAAAUUUUCGUUACGUUAAAAUUUUCACUAAAGUAAUUCG